rnacentral:rRNA from 1 species
AUUGAACGCUGGCGGCAGGCCUAACACAUGCAAGUCGAACGAGUGGCGGACGGGUGAAUAAUGUCGGGGAAACUGCCCUAUGGAGGGGGGUAACUACGGGAAACGGUAGCUAUUACCGCAAACCAUCGGAUUUGCCCUGAGGGGAUGAUCUAGUAGGUGAGGUAACGGCUCACCUAGUCCACGAUCCCUAGCUGGUCUGAGAGGAUGACCAGCCACACUGGAACUGAGACACGGUCCAGACUCCUACGGGAGGCAGCAGUGGGGAAUAUUGCGCAAUGGGCGAAAGCCUGAUGGAGCAAUGCCGCGUGUAUGAAGAAGGCCUUCGGGUUGUAAAAUACUUUCAGCGAGGAGGCGGUACCCGCUCAAGAAGCAACGGCUAACUCCGUGCCAGCAGCCGCGGUAAUUC